rnacentral:rRNA from 1 species
GGCGCUUCAUACCCACCUAGAGGAGCCUGUUCUUUAACCGAUAACCCCCGUUUAACCUCACCUUUUCUUGUUGUCCCCGCCUAUAUACCGCCGUCGUCAGCCCACCCUGUGAAGGCCCAGUAGUGAGCAUAACUGGCAUCGCCCAAAACGUCAGGCCGAGGUGUAGCGUAUGAGAAGGGAAGAAAUGGGCUACAAUUGCUUAAAAAGCUAAAACGAAUUGUAACGCUGAAACGCAAACAUGAAGGAGGAUUUAGAAGUAAGGGGCAAGCAGAGUGUCCCCCUGAAAUGGCUCUGAAGCGUGCACACACCGCCCGUCACUCUCCCCAAUCUAAAUAUUUAUCACAUAACUAACUAUCUAGCCGUACUGUCGGGGAGACAAGUCGUAACAUGGUAAGUGUACCGGAAGGUGCCCUUGGAUUACAAAC